AUUGAACGCUGGCGGCAGGCCUAACACAUGCAAGUCGAACGGUAACAGGAAGAAGCUUGCUUCUUUGCUGACGAGUGGCGGACGGGUGAGUCAUGUCUGGGAAACUGCCUGAUGGAGGGGGAUAACUACUGGAAACGGUAGCUAAUACCGCAUAACGUCGCAAGACCAAAGAGGGGGACCUUCGGGUCUCUUGCCAUCGGAUGUGCCCAGAUGGGAUUAGCUUGUAGGUGGGGUAACGGCUCACCUAGGCGACGAUCCCUAGCUGGUCUGAGAGGAUGACCGGCCACACUGGAACUGAGACACGGUCCAGACUCCUACGGGAGGCAGCAGUGGGGAAUAUUGCACAAUGGGCGCAAGCCUGAUGCAGCCAUGCCGCGUGGAUGAAGAAGGCCUUCGGGUUGUAAAGUACUUUCAGCGGGGAGGAAGGGAGUAAAGUUAAUACCUUUGCUAAUUGACGUUACCCGCAGAAGAAGCACCGGCUAACUCCGUG
rnacentral:rRNA from 1 species